AGUGUCGAUUUUGUUUGGAGGUGGGUACUAAGAUGUAAACUCACUGAUCACUUCAGGUAGCUGUCUCACAGCAUCAAUCUUAUCGAUUCUCACUGCACAGGUGAAGAAGAAAUCACCAGAUCAGAGAAAUCACAUUUUCACUGGACUGACUGGACCAAAAAGGCACGGCUGAAUGAGGGCUGUUUUUCUUGAGUGAGAAGAUGAUGGGAACACUUGAUCUUUUCUUUCAUUAAAAGGAUACACCAUGUGGAUGCUCCAAAGAAAACUUGGCACUGCGGUCUUCUUAAUAUUAUGAAGA